rnacentral:rRNA from 1 species
UACGAAGGGGGCUAGCGUUGCUCGGAAUUACUGGGCGUAAAGGGCGCGUAGGCGGCACUGUUAGUCAGGCGUGAAAUUCCUGGGCUCAACCUGGGGACUGCGCUUGAUACGGCAGAGCUAGAGGAUGGAAGAGGCUCGCGGAAUUCCCAGUGUAGAGGUGAAAUUCGUAGAUAUUGGGAAGAACACCGGUGGCGAAGGCGGCGAGCUGGUCCAUUACUGACGCUGAGGCGCGACAGCGUGGGGAGCAAGCAGG